AUACGUAGGGGGCGAGCGUUGUCCGGAAUGAUUGGGUGUAAAGGGCGCGUAGGCGGCGCGGUAAGUCUGGAGUGAAAGUCCUGCUUUCAAGGUGGGAAUUGCUUUGGAUACUGCCGCGCUUGAGUGCAGGAGAGGUUAUCGGAAUUCCCGGUGUAGCGGUGAAAUGCGUAGAGAUCGGGAGGAACACCAGUGGCGAAGGCGGGUAACUGGACUGCAACUGACGCUGAGGCGCGAAAGUGUGGGGAGCAAACAGGAUUAGAUACCCUGGUAGUCCACACUGUAAACGAUGAAUGCUAGGUGUAAGAGGUAUCGACCCCUUUUGUGCCGGAGUCAACACAAUAAGCAUUCCGCCUGGGGAGUACGGCCGCAAGGUUGAAACUCAAAGGAAUUGGCGGGG
rnacentral:rRNA from 1 species